CAGCGGCCCUGAUCAAGACACAGCUCCACCAAAGCCCUGUUGAGAACAUCUGAUUCACAAAAAUGUCAGAAUUUAGCUCCCCUGGACAUAAAAAAGAAUCUGAUGAAGAAAAGCCAAGUGUUCAGUUUCCAUCAGCUCAUAUACCGAAAGAUGUAACUGACACAAUUGACAGACCAGGAAAUGCCUAUACAAAAAGCAAGUAUGCUCGAGCUGGAAAAUAUGCGGGAACUUUUGAAAACGAACCAGGAAUGAGUAUUCAAAAGGCUGGAGCCUAUGCAGAAGCAGGAGUUGGACAAGCUCGUGCUGAAUUCAGUGCCUUCGAGGCUGAAGCCAAAGGUCCCAACGCCUCAGCUGGAGCUGAAAUUGGUGUGACUGGAGUCGGAGCAAUGGCUCGAGCUGAAAUUGCUAGUGCAUCGGCUAAAGCCGGUCCAGUUGGUGUGAAACUGGGACUUGGAGUUGAUACGGGUGUAUCUGCUGGUCUGGGAGGGGUGGAGGCCAAAGUACUGGGAACUGGAUUCUCAAUUGGUGAAAAAAACAGUGUAUCUCUUCUGGGUUCAGAAGAGUCUUGUGUAGUCAUGUAGUCAUACAGGUAUUAAUUAACUUCAAAUAUUUGCAUGUAGAUUUUUCUGUGGAACCACAAAAUAUGUAUUAUGUAUAAAAUAUGUAUUAAGUAUGCGUAUUGCUUUUCUCUAUACUGUCAUUCCCAGUGUAUAACUGUUAUAAUGUGUUCACUGAACUUUCUAGAGACUUCAGACAUCAUAUUUCCGCAUUUAUGCAAUAAACUGAAAAAUAAAUUAAUGAAUAACAAAAAAAA